CACAAGACAACCAAGAAGGCACCUGCUGACAACAGGCUGGAGUGUGUUUGUAAGCUCCAAGAGACUGGUUGCUGGUGAUGCGUUCAUCUUCCUAUGAGGUGAAAACGGAGAGUUGUGUGUUGGGGUUAGGCGGCUAAUGAGGCAACUAAGCAAUAUGCCGUCAUCUGUUAUAUCCAGUCACAACAUGCAUCUUGGGGUCCUUGCCACUGCAUCUCAUGCCAUAUCAACGGGGACUCUCUCUUCUGUUUUCUACAAGCCAAGCAAUGGCCCAGGCCUUCUUUCAUGGGUUUAAUUCAAUGUUCCAACUUAGACUUGGCUUGGAAGGAAAAAAGAAAGACAUCUGAACAAAAUCUCUGUUAUCCAGGACAAGCCAAUCUGAGUUUAUCAUAAGUGUCAACAAGUAUCUUGAAGCUCGGAGCCACAAACUCUCUGUUGGUAUGAGGUUCAAGAUGAGGUUUGAGGGCGAGGAAGCUCCCGAGAGGAGAUUUAGUGGUACUAUCGUUGGUGUUGGGGACACUCUAUCAUCUUGUUGGGCAGAUUCUGAAUGGAGAUCCAUAAAGGUUCAAUGGGAUGAACCUUAAGCAAUCCCGCGUCCCGAAAGAGUUUCACCCUGGAAUUGGAGUUGCUGGUAGCUGCAGCUCCUUCAACCACACAACCAGCACCAAAGCACAAACGGGCAAGACCACUGGUUUUACCUUCAACACCAUCAGACCUACCUACAUUUGGUAUGGAAUUUCUUAACCAUAUUUUGACUGUUAUUUUCUUUUGAAGAUGAAGAUGCACCUGUUCUUUUAAAUCUGAUUAGGGAACUGCUAAUCUGUUGCUUGUAAAAAAAUGUACAACUAACAUUUGAUACGUGUUGUAUUAUGUUCCCAUACCUGUCUCUUAUGAGUACUGUUUCAGCCUGCCUCCUCGUAUGGUUAUUUUGAUCACAAUCGUAACAAGGCUUCUCUCCUGCCCAUUUAGGCCUAUGGAAAUCCCCAGAUAACGCUGCCUCAAAUCUUUCAUAUUCUGGUCUACGAGGGAGAGAGCUGUACUCAGCACCUAAUGCUACUUCCCUCUUCUCCCGUGUCAAAAGCUGGGUCUUUUGGAUUCACUGGAUGCAAUGCAACACCUGC